rnacentral:lncRNA from 1 species
ACGAAUAAAAAUGGCAUGCUUCUGCAGUUAAAAAUCAUAUCUAAAACAGAGAAUCAUCAUUGACAACCAGUAAUACUUCAAAUUCAACAUUCUAAUACCUAUAGAAGCUAAAAGGAUGAUAGAGUAAUAAACUGGUGAAAUUAAGUGACAGCUAAAAAAUGUAGGGAAGGCUCCUUUUUUUAUCUUUUGAAUUGAUAGGAUGACCAUGAAGAGCUAUUGUCUCAGAGAAGCUAUUGAAGCUAUUUAAAUGUAGCAGAUUUAUGUUGGCUUUCCCCAUAACAUAAGGGCUUCAACAAUUAUAUGCUGUUGCACUUCAUGUAUAACAAUCAACAGUGCAGAUUAAUUAUAAUUGUUGCCAACAUUAGACCAUAAAUAACAAUAGCUUACCCAAAUCAAAAUAGGGAAAACAUAACUUUUUGAGAGAAGGGGAGUGAGAUCCACCUGUACUAUGAUUACCUAUCUACAGAUUUUUAGGGUUCACCAUCCUAGAAUAACACCCAUAACAAUUGAUUGCUAAACAGAGAACAUAAUACAUUAUUUUGUACUUGUAUCAUAGUGAGAGAAGAAAACACUAACAGUCCACUUGCUAAACUUCAUAAGACAUUAUCCCAAUGCAUACAGAUUGCCUCUACCAUUUAUCAUUGAUACAUGCCAAUAACUUUAACAAAUUCUACUACGAACAUAACUAAACUGAAGAGGUUUAACAGUUAGAAAUUCAGUCCGGCAACAAGAAGAUUACAUGAUGCAGUCAACAUAGAACCUAGUGUGGAAGUAUGCCACAAAUUUCUAGAAAUUUCAAAUGGCGGUGCAGGAAGGCAGAUUUCACUGCAACUUGAAUAAGGUAUCAAAGAAGUCUAGCUUAACAUCAUAUCCAUUUGAGUUCAGAUCCUUCCCCAUUGAUGGAGGAUCUAGUUCAAUAACCCAUCAUUUGUGUAUCACACAAUAUGUGUAUCACACAAUAGAAGGUGAUUGAAGAGUGUAGUACAUGUACAUCCUAGUCCUGUCCAAUCAUCUGUUAUUGCACAAUACACAAAGGGUGAUGAUGACUCGGUGAUGCAGGACAGAAGAAGGAGAGAGAGGAGGGAAGAGACGAGCAGGAGAAAAAGAUAGAGGGAGAGGCAAUUCAAUGUCCUCUAUUCUCAAAUCUCAAUAAUGCAAACCGUAUUCUCAAUUAAUACAGUAAUGGACAACGUCCGCCGAACCGGUACCGAGGUACGGCGGCCAGUACCAGUACCGAGACCGGUUUGGUCCAGUGCCGUGUCGGUAUGGGUAGGGUGUGCCAGUUCCGUACCGGCACAUCCAUUUUUUUAAGUUUUCAAAAAAUUUUAAUUGGUAAUCACUCUUUUUGAACUUUUUCAAUGAUUUUAAGUCUAAUCUGAUGUUUUUUAAUAUUUUUUUGAUGUUUUUUUUUAUGUUUCUAUGAUCCUG